AGCAGCAUGACCAUUGAGGAAGUGGGGGCAGAGUAAAGACUAUGACCAUAGGGGGAGCAGCAUGACCAUUGAGGAGGUGGGGGCAGAGUAAAGACUAUGACCAUAGGGGGAGCAGCAUGACCAUUGAGGAGGUGGGGGCAGAGUAAAGACUAUGACCAUAGGGGGAGCAGCAUGACCAUUGAGGAGGUGGGGGCAGAGUAAAGACUAUGACCAUAGGGGGAGCAGCAUGACCAUUGAGGAGGUGGGGGCAGAGUAAAGACUAUGACCAUAGGGGGAGCAGCAUGACCAUUGAGGAGGUGGGGGCAGAGUAAAGACUAUGACCAUAGGGGGAGCAGCAUGACCAUUGAGGAGGUGGGGGCAGAGUAAAGACUAUGACCAUAGG